rnacentral:rRNA from 1 species
GAUGAACGCUGGCGGCGUGCCUAAUACAUGCAAGUCGAGCGAACAGACGAGGAGCUUGCUCCUCUGACGUUAGCGGCGGACGGGUGAGUAACACGUGGAUAACCUACCUAUAAGACUGGGAUAACUUCGGGAAACCGGAGCUAAUACCGGAUAAUAUAUUGAACCGCAUGGUUCAAUAGUGAAAUACGGUUUUUCUGUCACUUAUAGAUGGAUCCGCGCCGCAUUAACUAGUUGGUAAGGCAACGGCUUACCAAGGCAACGAUGCGUAGCCGACCUGAGAGGGUGAUCGGCCACACUGGAACUGAGACACGGUCCAGACUCCUACGGGAGGCAGCAGUAGGGAAUCUUCCGCAAUGGGCGAAAGCCUGACGGAGCAACGCCGCGUGAGUGAUGAAGGUCUUCGGAUCGUAAAACUCUGUUAUUAGGGAAGAACAAAUGUGUAAGUAACUAUGCACGUCUUGACGGUACCUAAUCAGAAAGCCACGGCUAACUACGUG